CAUUAUCAGAGGAGAAAAAUUACUUUGUGGAUCAUACGCUCCCGAAUUGGUAACAAUGACAUGCAAUUUUAAGAGAGUGAAUCGGACAACCGAAUUUUGGUCAUUUGACGGAUAUUAUACACCCUACUUUUCAGCCCUCAACAAUACCAACAAUUUAUUUAUUGACGUUACCGUCUACUCUCGGCAACAGAACUUAGAGUGGCGACCUCACAUGAUCGUCCAUUACAUUGUGGACGUUUGUGCGUAUAUGAGCGGGAUUCUAGAAAAUAGAUUGUUGGACAUUAUUGCGAAUGACUUAAAAAAGUACAGUAAUUUUAUGCAUCCAUGUCCGCACGGAGGACAUUUUUACUUGAGAAAUAUGACCUUCAAUGACGAUCAUUUCCCGACCAUUGUUCCGAGGGCUGAAGUUUACGUUGAUUUUCAAUAUUUUAUGUAUGUGAAUGGUACAAGGAAGCGGAUGC